GGGGAUUUAGCUCAGUGAUUCCAGCACCUGCCUCACAAGCACAAGGUUCUGAGUUCGAACCCCAGUGCCCCCU
rnacentral:tRNA from 1 species